rnacentral:lncRNA from 1 species
UCGGAAUCGAACCCCCAACUCCUAAUACCUGAAAUCGACACCCUCACCUCUCAAAUCCCGGUCGUCACAACCCUUAAGCCCGUUUUAAGAGUGGGAUCGGUGACGUGGCACCGCUGGCGGCAGGGUUUGGUGAUUAAUGGGGUCGGGUUGCUGAAAAUAAUUGUUCUUUGCCUUAUCCCAAUGUACCACUGGUCCGCUGCUGCCGCUCACAGCCACUCAUUCCACCGAGAGGGAGGAUUCUGACCAGGUAAAAUCCGCCGUUCAGGCCGUGGCCGGCGGCAAGACCGGAGCUGUAUAGCGCCGUCCAUCUCCGACGCUCUUCUCCGCCCGGAGCUGCCACGGUAGCCACACCCGUCUCCGGCGCUCUGCUCGCUCGCGUCAGGCGCGCUGCGCCACGCCCGGACGUGGCCUUGGCUGCUGGCGGCAAGACGGUGGCCGUCGCAGCUAGUGCUGCCCACCUCCAGCGCACCCAACGGCAGGCCAAGGUUCUGGCUGAACUUUGAUUCUAAGUAAGAUUGAGCUGAUGUCUCUUUACUAAAUCAACUCAUGAUGCUGAUGUAUAAUUGCUCUCCCUCUUUAUUUGUCAGCAACUAGAGCUCAAAAAGCUGCUAUUGUGCUUCAUUUGAUAGCAAGUGGAGCUAAAAAAUUCUGCUACUGUGCUUUAUUUAACAGCAAGUUGAGCUAAAGAAUUCUGUUAUUGUGCUUCAGUUGACAGCAAGUGGAGCUAAAAAAAUUCUGCUAUUGUGCUUCAUUUAACAGCAAGUAGAGCUAAAAAGUUAUGCUAUUGUGCUUCAUUUAACAGCAAGUAGAGCUCAAAAAUUCUGCUAUUAUGCUUCAUUUAACAGCAAGUAGAGCACAAUAAUUCUUCUAUUAUGCUUUAUGUAACAGCAAGAACAUUUGCACUUAUUUUAUAGCAAGAAGAGUUCUAAAAUUCAGCUAUUAAACAUAAACCACACAUAAGAGUAGAGGGAAUGGAUAUUUUGACAGUAGCAGAAACACGUAUCACACUACAAAACCACAAGUCCACACAUAACUAGUGAUUUGAACUAUUAAUAGUAACUAGUACACACUGACAGUAGCAUCCAAAAGGCAACUACAUCCACCAUAAGCUUUAGUAAUUCCCACUAGCUGUAAAGAAGGCCAUAAACCCAGUUUCUGAGCCUCUCCCUCUCCCAGUUCCUCCCACACUUCCUCUGCCAUUGCCUCUCCCUCUAACUGCAGUUGUGCUACCUCUAGGGACAUCAUUGUUAGUUGUUGAUGAACUUCUAGGAGGUAUAAACCUGGAUGUUGUAGCUUGAGAGCUUGCUGCAACUUGAGAGGGUGCAGCUUGAGAUCUUGCUGCAGAUUGAGACCUUGCUGCAACUUGAGAUCUUGUUGGGCCUGAAGCUCUAGCUGCUGCAGCCUUGCUUGUAGAUGCAUCUGUCUGUGCUUGCUGCAAGGAAAACAGAUCAGUCAAACAACAAUUGCACUUUUUUGUAAAAGACCAACACAGCAUGAAAAUAAAAUUACCUCUGUUUCCCUCACUUUUCUCCCUCUCUUCCCAAGAUAUGACUUUCUUUUCUUGGCGUUAUCUCCUUUCUUUUUACAGGAAGUUUUGUUGUGCCCCUGACCACCACAACUUCCACAUGUGAUCUGUAUGCCAUGCUUGCUCAGUUUCUUCCCCUUGGGUGCUUCCCCCUCUUCUCUCUUCCUAUCAUUGUUCUUUUUCCUGGCUCCUGGCAUGGCAAUGUAGCCAGGUGCUACUGGCCUAGGGUUUUGAGACAUAGGCCAGCUUUCUUCUCCUUCAACUGGUUGCAGGCAAUGCUCAUAUUUUUUUUUGAAAGUAUCAAUGUAGUAGCACUUGUCAAUGAAAUCCUCUACUUUUCUUCCACUCUUAUAGAUAGCACAAAUUGCAUGACAACAAGGAAGGCCUGCAAGCUGAAAGGAACCACAUGAGCAAGUCCAUUUCUCAAGGUUAACAGUGUACCUCCUACCUCUGCUAUUCAAAUGCUUCACCUCAAAACCAUCCUUUCCAUUCCAGAGCACCUCCAAGAACUGAGUUCUCUUGAUAUUGGCCUUAAUCUUCUUGAAGAUGUUUGGGCAAAUUAUGCCAUUCCACUUCUCACUCUUUGUUUUCUGCUCUUGAACUCUAACCAUCAAUUUUUUCCUAAUCUUUUCUUGCUGUGAAAUAAUGGGGUGGAACCUAGCUUCUAUGAUGGCAUUAUUAAAUGAUUCACAAGGGUUGUUGUCACCUGACUCACAAUUUGCUCCUUUUGGAAAGAAAGCCCUAGCCCAAUGCUUUGGGUCUGUCUUCAUGAUAUCUUUUGCACCUUCUGGAGUUGGUUGAGCAAGCUUGGCCUUGUUGUAGUUGAAGUCUUCUCUGUUUGCAGACUUAGCAAUUGCCCAAAACCUUUUCUGCAAUUGAUGAUCUUUAUGCUUCUUUCUCCAGUUAGCAUAGAUGUGCCUAGCACACAUCCUAUGCUCUACCUUAGGCAGAUAGUCUCUCAUGCUAUUAAUUAAGCCCUGUAGUAGACAUAAGUAUUUAUUAGUAAAAUAAAGUAGUAGGGCUAGGACUAGUACAAUGAGGCAGUAAAUAAAUUUAACCUUUUGCUUAUCAGAAAUAAAGACCCAUCCAGCUCCUUGAUCGUUAAUGUCCAAGUCUUUGAUUAAAAGACCAAUGAACCAGGCCCAACUCUCAUUUGUCUCCUUCUCCACAACAGCCCAAGCUACUGGAUACAUUUGGUUGUUUGCAUCCCUACCUAUUGCAGCCAGUAGCUCACCUUGGCAGGCUCCCUUGAAGAAACAACCAUCUAGCCCAAUCACUUUCCUACACCCAGCUUUAAACCCUUGCUUCAUAGCAUUGAAACAUACAUAGAAUUGUUGAAAAAUAUUUUCUUCCUUCUCUUUUGGAUCCAAGCAAACAGCCACAGUACUCCCAGGGUUGCUCCUAAGAAGUUCCAACUGAUAAUCAAACACCUUGUUGUACUCAGUUUUCAUACCACUCAUCAGCUGGUCAAGUACAAGUUUUUUUGCUGCCUUGCACUUUGAAAUGGACACAUCAACAAACAUGUCUUUCAUCACUAUGGCUUUCAUACUAUCAAUCUUCCACAAAGGAUUUGCCAGGAUGAAGUGCUCAUACCUUUUGGCAAUGACCUUAGUAGUAACCAGUUUGUUGUCUCUGUUUUGUGCACAUUGGUGUUCAUCUUCAAAUGUGAUGAUUUGAAACCUAGAACACCUGCUGGUCUUAGCUGCAUACAACAUCCAGGGACACCCAGGCCAAUCACAUUUUGCUCUAACUCUGGCCUCCUCUGACUUUAAAAAUGAAAUGCUUCUUUUGGUAGCAAGCCCAUAUCUCUUCAUAGCUCUAGUCAAUUGUUUCUUGCUUUUAAAAACCAUUCCAAGACUAAAAUGAGGAAUGUCAGAGUCUGGGUUAAACCUCACAAACUGGCUCUUCCUCCUAACCAUGUUGCCAUCCUCAUCCUCAUCAUAGGAGUAGUCUUCAUCUGAUGACUCAAACUCCAUGUCCUCCACAACUUCCUCCACAUUUGCUACCAAAUCAAUGGGCACAGCCCCUGUUGCAUCUGCAUCAGCCCACAUCUUGAAAUCUCCCAUCUUUUUCCUAAAUUUUCUUGCAUGUUUUCUCAUCUCAACAACCUCUGAUUCUUCCCCACUAUCAUCAGUAUGUGGCACAUACUCAUAGUCCUCUGAGUCCUCUGAAUCUGAACCAUUUUCUGCCACUUUAGCAACUGAACUAGAUAUGUCUUGGGCUGCUUGACAUGGUUGACUUACAUUAAGAACUUGAGAACUCUGAGUAGGAUAAUCAACUCUCACAUUUUGCUUCAAUGGACUGUUUAUCACCUGAGUAAUCGCACCACCUACAUCAGGAACAAAUAUAUGCUCAAUAAUUUCUCCUGCAGUACCAGUCUGUUCAGUGGCAUUUACAUUAUCAUUGACUUCAGCACUACAAUCUUCGGCUGUGAUAACUGCAUCAGGUUCUUCUUCACUGCCAAUGUUCAUCAGUUCAUCAAGCUCAUCCUCAAAAUCUGACCCACUGUCUAUUUCUCCUUGUUCUUCUUCUUCACCAUUGUACUCCACAUAUAUUUCACCAACUCCCCCCUCUGUAAUGUAGUCAGACACCUUCAUGCAGCCACCAUCAUCAUGUAAAAAAAGCAAUCCAUUUACCAAAUCUCUGCCAGGCAACAGGAAAUAGUACUUCAUGCUCUCCUUCACUGUCAUAUGAUCUCCUAAAAACCCUUUCAGCUCCUGCAAAGAGAGCUUGUCCCGCUCAAUCUCUGACAUUCCAGUUUCUCCCCCAACAUAAUCUAGACUUGGACCAAUUCGUAUGAACUAACCCCCAAAGUGAAAUCUAACAUUCAAGAUCUCUGCCGGGUCCAUGAUUUCAACAAGAAAACCCUACAUUACAAGCAAAGCAACUAAUGCAUCAGUGAUUGUCGGCCGAUUCAAACACCCAAAAACCCCAACUUGAUCUCACUGUAGAACCCUAAACCUAGCCCACAGAGAGGGGAAAAAAGGCCAAACGCAAUAGAAGGAAGAACAUCACAUACCUGAUUCUACUCUGUUGGAGUGCUCGUCAGAGAUGGCCGCGAUCAUCCGUCCUUCGCCAUGGCCGCCGCGGAGAAGUUGACGCGUCAGGCUGCAGGGAAGCGAGGCGAGGGGGGGAACAGAGAGCGACGGGGAGGCGGAGCUGGGCCGGCUCAACCAGAUUUGGCCCGCGCCGCGGCCAGUGGACCCACACCCCCAGGCUGACUCAGCAAUCCCUGUUUGGGAAUGGGCUUAAGGGAUGUGACAACCGGGAUUUGAGAGGUGGGGGUGUCGAUUUCAGGGAUUAGGAGUUGGGGGUUCGAUUCCGACGGGUCGUACAAAGACAGGGUUUGUUUCUGACUUCACUCGCUACUAUUCAACAUCCAGCGGGCCGCGCACAACCCAAUCAUCUGUAGAGCAGCCUCAGAAUGGGAUCCAGUUGCAAACCAAUCUGGGUUAUUGGUGAGGACACAAGUAUCCCCUACCCAUCAUAGUUUAUGUUCCAGAUUUGGUAUUGCUGCUUGCAUUUUUCGGGAUUUAUACCUUUCGGCGAUGUGCAUUUAGUAGAAGGAGACGUUUCCAUCGACUACGAAACGUCGUCAAUCUCAAGAUGAUGUGCUGGCUUAGUUUCUCGAAAGUGCUCAUAAGGAUACAGUGUGCAUGCGUGUGUGUUUUUAUAGGGGUGCGUGUAUGUGAGCAACUUUGAUUGUACUAUGUUCAGAAAACAAAGGGUCCAGCUAAGCUAAGAGUAUCUACAGUCAGACUUUAAAGAAUUCGCCCCCCUAGACAUCAUGAGAACGUGCUUGGGCACGUCCGCGGCUUAAAUAUGCUCUUUCACAAACGGAUACAUCAUUACCAGCUCAUCAAAUUCAUACAAUUAUAUGCAACGUAAACCUACUCUAAAUCUUUGAUAACGCUCGUUCGCUUCCAAGUCCAUGUUUCCGUAUGUGUGUCUGUGUCCAUGUCCAGCUAAUGCGAGACCCACGAAGUGAAGGUCCGGUUGCCGGUGAGGUAGAGUAGGACAUGGGACAGAAGGCGCCACUGUCUCACAUACCCUACUCUUCCUCGUCAAAGUCCAUGGCCUCGACGUCGCCGGUCGAGGUGAGGUCCACGAUAGACCCUUCUUUAUCGGAGCCCGACACCUCGACGACUUGGUUGUUGCGCCAACGGUUGUCGGCAACCCGUCCCAGCUCUGCGGCGACGUGGGACUUCGCCUCUGUGGCCUCGGCCACGAGGGCUGCAGCGGCAUCCUGCGCCCUUUCACUAGCAUUGUGCGCACGCCACGCCAUUUAAAGGUGCGGGGCGGGACAAUGCAUGUCGUUGUUUACCUCUGACUCUGAAUCCAAUGACGCGGGAAAGAUGCGCCACCGAACGGGCUGUGCCAUCGCCCAACAUUGGGGCGCCAGACGGACCGCACCACGCCCGGCCAGGCAGCGGUGAAGCGCCUCCCACCGUAUCCAAGCGUCAUUCGGCGGGCGAAAUGGAUUCCCCUCGGCUCGAGUCCGACCGCGGUCCGGCGGACUCCUCCUGGGAGCGAUGGAGAGUUGUGCAGACGACCAUCUCAUUCUGGGGCCCGUAUGGGAUGAGGUUCCAGUCCGCAGAUCGUGAGAACUCAGAGUCGAAUCCACUGCACGUCAUGUUGGAGAUCACCGAAAGGGAGCUUGGGGCAGAGUGAAGUGGAGUGGCUAGGGUUUGGUCCGGGAUGAGGAUGAGGAUGAAUAUAUGAGGGGUCGGGGUGGGCCAGAUCCGACGGAACGGACGUGCGCGGGUCUUGCCACAUUUGAGAUGGAUAUAAAGGGUGCCUGUNNNNNNNNNNNNNNNNNNNNNNNNNNNNNNNNNNNNNNNNNNNNNNNNNNNNNNNNNNNNNNNNNNNNNNNNNNNNNNNNNNNNNNNNNNNNNNNNNNNNNNNNNNNNNNNNNNNNNNNNNNNNNNNNNNNNNNNNNNNNNNNNNNNNNNNNNNNNNNNNNNNNNNNNNNNNNNNNNNNNNNNNNNNNNNNNNNNNNNNNNNNNNNNNNNNNNNNNNNNNNNNNNNNNNNNNNNNNNNNNNNNNNNNNNNNNNNNNNNNNNNNNNNNNNNNNNNNNNNNNNNNNNNNNNNNNNNNNNNNAGGGCUCAACUAUUUACUUUCUCUUUUCUCGUAUUAACUCUCGACCACUUGGUUUAGUUCCAACCGAUGUAACCAACAAGGAAAGCUCACUUGUUGUGCCUAGUCAUUUUUUUUGUUCUAGUUGUCCGUGUUUUAUGUUUCCUUUUCUUUUCACUAGAACAAUGCCCUGCCAAUAAUAAUACGGUUGUGUAACAAAUGUUAAUCAAAUUCUGACUGUGAAUUACCUUAUAUUUUGAUUAGAAGUUUGGUAAAUUAAAGUAGAAUUGGUUCAGAAGGUAAGUAAAUUAAGGUGAUUGAUUAUCAUAUACAUGAAAGGUUGGAUGAAGGCGUGGUGGGAAGAAAGGUGAAAUGAGAACCUUACUUUUUUUAAGUAGUAGAGAUUUUGUUUGGCCGUUUUUCCUUUGGUCUAUUUAUUAUUAUUUUCUUCUUCUCUUUUUGUAUUUUCUUUUCUUUUCCAUUUACUUAAAUUCGUGAUUUUCUAAAAUUGUGAAUUUGUUUUCAAAUCCAUGAAUAUUUUCUUUAAUUUAUGAACUUUUUUCAAAUCCAUGAACUUUUUUUAAUCUUUUUUCAAACAUGAGAACGUUUUUCAAUUUCACAAAAAAAUCAAAUUCAUGAUAUUUUUUUUUCAAAUUAUUAACAAAUCAAUGAAAUUUUUUCAAAUUCAUGAUUAUUUUUGUUAAAAUCGUGUGUUUUCAAAUCAAUGAACCUUUUUUUUCAAAUUCAUGUAUUGUUUUAUAAAAACAUGAUUUUUUUUCAAUUUCAAUAACUUUUUUUAAACUUGCAAACUUUUCUUUAAUCCAUGAAUAUGUUUUUGAAUUUUCAAAACCAACAACUGGUUUUUUACUUCACAAAUCAGCAGAGAAGAGAAAAGUAAGAAAAUACAGCGAGCAAAUGAAAACAAACGUUGAGGUACUUGCAACUUUUGUUUUUAACACAGUACGGACGCAAGCGCUCAUAUACACGCGCCUACAAUCACCCCUAUGAAUACACACACGCACAUCCUACCCCUAUGAGCACCUUCGCAAGAAUGAGCCGGCAUAUCAUCUUGAAAUUUACGAAGUCAACGUAGGCACCUCGUCGUCGAUGGAAACGUCUUCUCCCACUGAAUGCGCAUUGCCGGAAAUCCUGAAAUAAAUUCAGGAAAAAAUGCAAGCAUCAGGACUUGAAUCCUAGUGAGCUGGGGAUACCACAGUGCCUCUAACCAUCCACGUUUGUUCGCAAGGUACUUGCAACUGACGAGCAUAAGCGGUUAACGUGAAGCAAAGGAGUGAGGUACUUGGGCUGCGGCCCACUAAGGCUGGCAUGAGAGCCAACAUUUCUUUGUGGCGCUUAAGGUGCACAAAGGACCCCUAAAAAAAAGUGCACAAAGGUUAGCUAGCCGCCACCCUUGGAUCUAGAGAGAGGAGCUAUAGAGGGUGACCUAUCAACUCGCAUCAUCAGGCAUUAUUUUUAGAAAUGCUAAAAAUCUGACGGCGGGUUUUUGACAUUUCUGAUAGACCAAAGGACACGAAUUAUCUGUUACUGAAUUACAGAGACACAGCACGUGAUUUCAGCACAUUGAUCGCACAGUAACGGAUCACAAAUGGCUCUCUUCUUGCAGCUGACUCGUAUCCGAGGACUUGACCCGUUGUGAAUUGUGAUGGCGACAAGUGAUGGAGCGAUGAGACGAAGAUAAGUUCUUUGCUUUGUUUUGACCUGGACACGAAGAUAAGGCUUUUUGCUUUGUUUUGACCUGGACACGAAGAUAAGUUUUUGCUUUGUUUGACCUGGACACGAAGAUAAGUUUGAUCUCUACAACCCAAGUGUAUGCGUCUUUUUCUUUGAAAUGUCUCGAGGAGCGGAACAGAAUGCAACUGUGGAUUGCGUGACGCAGCAGGACGGGAGAGGCAGACCAGAAGUCUCCUUUUCUCUUCCCGGGGUUUCAGAAGACUAUUCCGAGUUUUGUUCAGAGAAGACAAGCGCAUCUUUGAACAAUCCUGUUGGGAUAAGCAGCAGCUCGGGCUAGUACGUCUCAUCUGUGCAGAGAAGCAUCUUCCAAGAUGUCGCCGUUCAGUCGUUCAAAGUACAGGUUAGGGCGGCCGUGAGAAUUGUGGUUGGAUUGGAUUGGUUAUCUUCUACUCUACUCUACUAUUUCCGUGACAAAGAAUGUGAAUGUGAGACGUUGCUGGCUGGCUGCUGUAGCCUAUACUGCUGCUGCUGUUAAGCGGCUGUGUUUUUUUUUUCCUGAACCGAAAACCGUAGAAUAAUCGUUCUA